UUUAUUUUUAUCUAUUUUUAUCUUAUUAAUAAUUAUUUAUAAGUGUUAGAUGGGAUUCAUGGGUGUCGGCCUUUGUACGGGCUGCUGUCUCAGCAUCUUGUAGAGCUCUCGGGUGGGAUCCUUGAGAAGGAUCCUUCAGUUUUGACCUUUGGAUGAACCUUCUUUUUUCAGUACGCAAAAAUCGAGUUUGAUUUUGGUAUUCUAGAUUUGCUCGGUUGGAGCGAUAUUUAGUAUGUCCAUCUCUCGUUUUGAAUUUCGUCAUUGUCACGUACGCACAUGUUCUAUCUUUUUUUUCUUCUCUUUCUCUUCUUUUCUAAUCUCGAUCAUCGAGGAAUGAAUUCAUCUGCAAUCGGAUAUUUGGCCAAAGAAGAUUCGGAAUAUCGUCGCAUGGCUCGGUUCAUCGUCGAUGUUUACACGGGAAUAUGGAGAAACGCACCGCAAACUUAUAAUUUUUGUGAAGACCAAGAGAGAGAGAAACGAAGAAAAAAGCAUUAGUGAAAGGAUUAAUACAUUACAGCUCGACAUGAUCGUCCUCAACCCACUUUUCAUCACUGUUGUAUCCUUUAAAUGAUGACGACAGAGAAGAUUCUUUCUCUCUAUCUCUUUUUCUUUCUUUCUUUUUAUCUUUAUUUUUAUUUCUAUUUCUGCAAAAUUAACGAAAUUUUUUUUUCACACAAUCACGAGAGAUUUCACUUUUUACAACGUCGCUAAUAUAUAUAACGUCGCGAAUAUGUGUCGUAAGUUUCGAAGAUUUUAUAUAGGAUUCUACAAAGAGAGAGAGAGAAAGAGAGAGAGAGAGAGAGAGAGAGAGAGAGAGAGAGAGAGAGAGAGAAGCA